GCACCUGCAAGCAAAAGUACAAUAUAACCUUAAUAAAUAUAUAUAUAUAUACAUACAUAAAAAGACGUUCCAUUUCAAUACGUAGGCUCGGUUAAAUAUGAUCAGGUUGGCACGUAACGUUGAGGACAAACGAAAAUAAUGAAAGAACGCGAUUAAGACGACGCAUCGCGUACUGUCACGUCGGAUAACAGACGUCGAAUCGUGAAAUCAAUCGAGUAUGAUGAUUCGGGUCAGCGUUUGGUGUGUAUCGGAUGUCCAGUUAUAUCGCUCCGUUUACCGAUAGCCCUACAUACGAUGUACCUACGCAGUCCGACGCCGCACGAGCCUGCUGUAAUUACGAUCGAGCCAUUCGACGUUAAUAGUUGGGUACUAAUGCGUACCGAUAUCAAGCUUCGUAACGGCAAUCGCGUUAGAUACGCAUAAGCUCCCAAGAUGCUUUUAUCCUACGUUUAUCCUAUGUACGCGCUGACCUAACUUUAUUUUAUUUCUUCGAUCUACACGCCUACGUAUAGACCGAUGUAUAUUAAUCAUUUUAGAUAGUCCACAGCUGAAUGAUUGCCGAACAAUGAUCGAAUAAGAAGUGCUAAUUUUUUAAUAGGCCGAAUCCAAUUCACAUGAUAAAAGUUGCGAAAUUAUUUUCAUAACGAUUUUCAAAGUUGCAAACGCCGGACACGUUCUCCAGUGAAGACCUUUAUCCUCAUUCUUCCUCUAUUUGUUUUUCUUGGAAAAACGUUGCCUGUUAGAGCCAACGGAGAGAAAUUUCCGCGCUGCCGACGAAAAUAUACAUUCUCAAACGUUAUGCGAUAUUAUUGCCCUAUUCUCUCGACUACUAUAGCUUCCUUUUCCUUCUCUUCUCUCCGUCUCAAUUUUCCUUCAAUUUUAUUUCAAUGGCCAAAGUCUCGCAGACGAAACAGGUACGCACGUCUAAUAAAGAAUUUUAACUAUUUUCGUUCCUGAACAAUAAAGCGAAUUUGAAAACGAAAAACAAAAACCAACUUGAAAUUAGAUUCAAAAGCCGCAGAUGCUUUUGCAGAAUGUACCGUCGUUUCGGAUUAUUUUGAGAAUAAGAAGAAAAUCGAUAUAGAAUAAGACAAAAACGGUAAGAUAGCAAAACGAGUUUGAGGCGUAAUAAAGCGUUAUAAACGUAUCGAGAGACGAUACAACGGCGACUAUUUUUAAAACUUGAAAUACAGCCUAUGCCUUAUGAUAUUAUCAAUAUAUCCAAAUUAUAUAUCCAAAUUAUAUACAAGUCCUUGAAACAAUGGCUGCGCAUGCGAUCGACAGAUUUUCAGUUACAAAUGGUCCACUUGAUUCAUCAAGUACACGAUAAAUAAAACCAACUUUAUCGAAAAAUCUCUUAAACUGUUCGAAAUUUUCACGAUCAACCGUAGAGUAAAAGUUUUUUCUCUUUGCAUAAUGCAGGAUCCAACUUUCGAUUUUUUGAAAUGAUGUAUUUUAAAAGACUUUUGCCAAAGAUAAAUUCACGAUUGAAGAACUCUCUCUCUCUCGCUCCCUCUGUCUGUUCGUCUGUCUCAAUUGAUCAUGCAAUUUACACCACCCUCGAGCGUUCUAUAUGCCAACGGCACAAUCAAACGUGCUCUAUUAAAAUUCCUCGAAUAACGAGAUGGAAUCCGAGCGAUCUCUAAUGUUCUCUCGAUCCUUUCGAUCUAAACGCUUGCUAAGCGCGAUACGUCGAAACAAAAGUAAAAGAGAGAGAGAGAGAGAGAGAGAGAGAGAGAGAGAGAGAGAGAGAGAGAGAGAGGGCGAAUCGGUUGGAAAAGCGAUGGUCGUGUCGUUCGUGAAUAUCUUCGACUGAAAUUAAAAUUGUUUUACGAACGAUGCGUUUGAAUGAGCGCUCGCUUUCACCUCGGAAUAUUCAGAGACCGGCGAAAAACAUGAUCGUGAAACCGAAUUGUAAUAGCGAGAGAAAAAUUCGCGUUGAUGGUUGAAAUUUUCUCUCUUUUUCUUUGAUUUUUAGCAAGCAACGACGAGGUAAUAUUUUUAUCUGACAAUGUGAGUCUUCGAUGAAAUUAAAUACGACGGAUUUCUAAAUAAAAUUAGCGAGGACCUCGGCAAAUAACAACCGAGUUGCGAUGAUCGAUCGACUUUCGAAACUAGUACCUACCGAUUAUGGAUUCUUCCUUAUUAUCAAAUAAUAGCAUUAUUUUUUCUGGAAGGUAAUGUCAUUUGAAACGUCAUUUAUCUUACCUAAACCUCUUAAAGUUCAGACCGGGGUUGGUAGAUAAUCGUGCGUGAAGCAAGAAAGGAAAAAAAGAACGGAAAAGGAGACGAGGCAAGGGAGACAAAAAAAAAAGAUAAUAGAAAGAAGAAGCAACCGUCUUUGGCUGGUAACAGGGAAAAAUAGAGAGAAAGAAGAGAACGAAAAGGGAGGAAAUGGCGAUCGAAGGAAAGGUCGGAAAGAAGACGAAGAAAAGGUUGAAAGAAGAUGAUGAAGACCAAAGAGAGGUAGAAAAGGAGAGAGGGUGAGAAAGAGGGCGAAGGGCACGUAGAGGAUUGCGGCGAAGCGGAGUACAGAAGGGAAAUACGAAAGGGGAAUCGAUGUGAGUGUGAAGCCGUGGUGGGGAGACUGGGCACCAAUCAAUAGCCGCGCGGCGGCGCCACACCUGUCAACGCGGGCUGAAAUAAACACAGGUGUAUGCGACCGUAGCGCACUUUCAGAGUGAUUCAUCGACCGAGUUAUGAAAGGAAUAUUAGAAUCUUGGCGCAAAAGGAAACAGAAAGCUCGUAACUUUCGGGCACGAGAAGAGGCGCUGAUGGGUGGAACGUGGGAAACGUUAAAAAGCGCUAGGGACGUUAGUAAUUAGCAACAGCCGCACUUGCAUCGGCACAGUCACCAGUAGCAUCGCCGUUGGUGUCGAUCGUCGUCAUCACACUUGUCGUCGUGGUACUAGUACUACCGGGACUAGUACCAACCUCGAAGUAGUUACCACUACUGGUACCGUCGUUUACCAGUGAUAUGGUACGAACAGCAACCAGCAACGGCGUUGCUGAUGGAGGCGGAAAUGGAACGAUCGCGGCCGAGACACUCAUACCACGAACGUUGAGUGCACAAUUGGGGGAGAGAGCAGAGAGAGAGAGAGAGAGAGAGAGAGAGACAGAGGGAGAAAAGGGGAGAAGGAUGAGUGUAGGGAAAGCCCGGCCCUCGAAAGGGUAAUCCACUGUCGAAAAUACAAUUCCGUGUGCCUGCUGCGUUAUUCCACGUCCACGGAAAUCGUGUUUCCAGGACUGGAACUAACGGACAUCGCGCAUCGAAAGGGAGAGAGAAAGAGAGAAUAACGAGCGAUUCUCUUACGCUAGAAACAACAGUAAUAUUAGCAUUUCGAAUCUAGUCUCUCUUAUUUUCUUUUUCUUUUUCUUUUUUCAUUUUUUCUACUUUUUCUUUUUCAUUCUUCUAUUCUUUGUUUUCUCUCACCGAGCGUAAAGUACACCCCAAAGAUUACUUACUUUUUAAUUUUCCGUAACAUUUCGAAAUAAAUUUGAGUAUCAAAAGAAUAAUGAAAAAAAAUCUUGUAGGAAGAUUUUUUUCAAGAGACUUUUUUACCUGAUCCAGAUGCAAUAUAUACAAAAAUUCUAUGUGAAAUUAAUUUACACGUCCGUCGAC